GACGAACGUUGGCGACGUACAUAAGCUUAUGCUAGUCGAACGAUUAAAGCCCGUUUCGGCGGGUGUAUAGAGUGGCGAACUGGUGAGUAACACGUGGGUAACCUGCCCUUUAGUGGGGGACAACAUCUUGAAAGGGAUGCUAAUACCGCAUAAGUCCUUUAUGUUUUAUGGCAUAUGGGAGAAAGGCUUCGGCCGCUGAAGGAUGGGCCCGCGCGCUAUUAGCUUGCUGGUGGGGUAACGGCCUACCAGGGCAACGAUGGCUAGCCGGCCUGAGAGGGUGUCCGGCCACACUGGAACUGAGACAAUGUCCAGUCCCCUACGGGAGGCGCAGGCGGGAAUUGUUCACAAUGGGCGCAAGCCUGAUGACGCGACGUCGCGUGAGGGAAGAAGGCCUCCGGGUUGUAAACCUCUGUCGUCGGGGAAGAAUGUAUGGGGAGAACCCCUGUUCUGACGGUACCCGACAAGAAAGCCACGGCUAACUACGUG
rnacentral:rRNA from 1 species